AACCACUGCCAUUGUUCGAUUUGCUGCACCGGGUACAUUGGCACGGCAACAGUAACACAUGUAAUCUUCGGGUACAUCGGGUGUGCACAGUUUCAGCUCGAUGUUAUUUUUAAUUUCCUUUCCAUUUCUGGAGCGCCCAAAAGUCCAAACAGGCCCAACAGGGACUCUCAUUCUUACGUUCGAUUUUACCUUUUUUUAUUCUAGCAGCUUACAGCACCGUGCCCACACGGGAGCCUUGUGUUUUUGUGCUGCUGCCGUUCUGCAGCGUGUUGAUCCCUUUGAACUGCCACCAGAACCAUCCAUUGACGGCUGCAAAAUGGCUGCAGUCGGAGGCGGAUUAGAACGGAACGAAACGAUUGGAAAUGGGUGAAGGAAGACAAAAAAAAAAACAAAAAUAAAUCUACGCCCGGAAACUGCAGCACUCUCGGUUGCACCGAGGUUGCAACCGAUGCAUGAAUGGGGCAAAAUCCGUAUUGCUGCCAACACGUAAGAAGAAACAUGCUGUGCAGCUUCGUUCGUGCUUUUUUUAUGUGGCAUUCGUUUUCACAACAUCAUUGUGUCGGUGUACUCAAUUAAACAGAAGCUGCUUCACCGAACCGAACGCCGACAAUCAAACACUUCCAUCGGUGAUAGGAAAUUCUUCGAAUGACAACCUUCACCGACACCGUGUGUUUUCCCCGGCCUGCAAGGGAUCGAUUUCUUUCGACACUCUUUCGGACGGGUGUGCGAGCGCACACACGUUGGCACCCGGAGCUGUCUCGCUAGUAUAGCUGACCACUAAUGUAAUCAUUUCCCAUAAAUUAAUGCCUUCACCGAAAGGUGUAAGCCACCACCGGGAGCGAUCCACAGUGGAGCAUCCACCAGGCUUACGCUGUCGCCCAUUCGCAGGCCGGCACCGGUUCCGAUGAAUUGGAAGUUCCGCGGUCACCCUUCGGACCAAGCCGGGCGAC